rnacentral:rRNA from 1 species
CCUACGGGCGGCUGCAGUGGGGAAUAUUGCACAAUGGGCGCAAGCCUGAUGCAGCCAUGCCGCGUGUGUGAAGAAGGCCUUCGGGUUGUAAAGCACUUUCAGCGGGGAGGAAGGCGUUAAGGUUAAUAACCUUGGCGAUUGACGUUACCCGCAGAAGAAGCACCGGCUAACUCCGUGCCAGCAGCCGCGGUAAUACGGAGGGUGCAAGCGUGAAUCGGAAUUACUGGGCGUAAAGCGCACGCAGGCGGUCUGUCAAGUCGGAUGUGAAAUCCCCGGGCUCAACCUGGGAACUGCAUUCGAAACUGGCAGGCUAGAGUCCUGUAGAGGGGGGUAGAAUUCCAGGUGUAGCGGUGAAAUGCGUAGAGAUCUGGAGGAAUACCGGUGGCGAAGGCGGCCCCCUGGACAAAGACUGACGCUCAGGUGCGAAAGCGUGGGGAGCAAACAGGAUUAGAUACCCCUGUAGUC